GAGACACCCUUCUGGGGCAAGACUUGCUUCAGUGGGGCUUUGGUGCUCACUGAGUCUGCCCCCUGAGUGUAUCCCU
rfam:Myotis lucifugus cont2.10265, whole genome shotgun sequence.